rnacentral:rRNA from 1 species
AGUGAACGCUGGCGGUAGGCCUAACACAUGCAAGUCGAACGGCAGCACAGUAAGAGCUUGCUCUUACGGGUGGCGAGUGGCGGACGGGUGAGGAAUACAUCGGAAUCUACUUUUUCGUGGGGGAUAACGUAGGGAAACUUACGCUAAUACCGCAUACGACCUACGGGUGAAAGCAGGGGAUCUUCGGACCUUGCGCGAUUGAAUGAGCCGAUGUCGGAUUAGCUAGUUGGCGGGGUAAAGGCCCACCAAGGCGACGAUCCGUAGCUGGUCUGAGAGGAUGAUUAGCCACACUGGAACUGAGACACGGGCCAGACUCCGUCGGGGGGCAGCAGUGGGGAAUAUUGGACAAUGGGCGCAAACCUUAUCCAGCCAUACCGCGUGGGUGAAGAAGGCCUUCGGGUUGUAAAGCCCUUUUGUUGGGAAAGAAAAGCAGCAGGUUAAUACCCCGCUGUUCUGACGGUACCCAAAGAAUAAGCACCGGCUAACUUCGUG